UUUGCACUUUUGUAAGGGUUCUCUUCUCCAGCCUACUAGCUAAUGAGUUCCUUUGGUUUUGCACAUUGGAUUGGCUUUAUUGGUGCAACAGUAGGAAGCAGGUUAGGCGGUCAGCAAAAUUUUCGAUUGUGUUGUCAAUGAUGUCACCUCCUAGUACCAAGGCCAGAUCCUGCAUACACCUGGAGCCAAGCUCUGUGAUGCACAUUGACUAACCACUUUUAUCACUUGAUGAGGAAUGGGCUUUUUAAUGAAUGUGCAAAAUGGAUAAUGGUGUCUUGUGGGAAAUUGUACGAAGAUUUUUCCCCCCUUUUCCUGCUUAUGUACAUUUUCUGAAAAUGUUUAUCACAUGCUUAGUUGAGUUGAGUUGAGUUGAGUUUUAUCACAUAAAAAUUGUGCAACUUGAGUCAAUGAUAUCCUUGCUCAUUAAUUUAUUUUCGUGGUGCU
rnacentral:misc_RNA from 1 species